UUGACCUCGGAUCAGGUAGGGAUACCCGCUGAACUUAAGCAUAUCAAUAAGCGGAGGAAAAGAAACCAACAGGGAUUGCCCUAGUAACGGCGAGUGAAGCGGCAACAGCUCAAAUUUGAAAUCUGGCUCUUUUAGAGUCCGAGUUGUAAUUUGCAGAGGGCGCUUUGGCUUUGGCAGCGGUCCAAGUUCCUUGGAACAGGACGUCACAGAGGGUGAGAAUCCCGUACGUGGUCGCUGGCUAUUGCCGUGUAAAGCCCCUUCGACGAGUCGAGUUGUUUGGGAAUGCAGCUCUAAAUGGGAGGUACAUUUCUUCUAAAGCUAAAAUAUGGC
rnacentral:rRNA from 1 species